rnacentral:rRNA from 1 species
UACGUAGGGUGCAAGCGUUAAUCGGAAUUACUGGGCGUAAAGCGUGCGCAGGCGGUUAUGUAAGACAGGUGUGAAAUCCCCGGGCUUAACCUGGGAAUUGCAUUUGUGACUGCAUGGCUAGAGUGUGUCAGAGGGGGGUAGAAUUCCACGUGUAGCAGUGAAAUGCGUAGAUAUGUGGAGGAAUACCGAUGGCGAAGGCAGCCCCCUGGGAUAACACUGACGCUCAUGCACGAAAGCGUAGGGAGCAAACAGG